rnacentral:lncRNA from 1 species
CAAAAUGAAAUACAAAAAGUUCACCGACCUAAACUGUAAAUUGACCAUACGUGAUACGUAUAGGGACUAUAUUACUACUUACAGUCAGGACUCUAUUCGAUCCAUUGACUUCUUCUGCUAUCUUCUUCUUGAGCAAUUAAACAAAGCAUGAUAACCGAUAACGAUUUGGGAUUCAUUGCCAACUUCCUUGGCAUAUUCAUAUUUGGUCUGGUAAUUGCUUAUCACUAUGUGUUGGCCGACCCGAAAUAUGAAGGGAAUUAAAGGGUAUUUUAGCAAGAUGAGUGAUGGAAUGUAGUUGUAGAGAUGUUAUGAGAUGAUCAAGAAUUAUAUAUAUGACAUAUAUGACAUUGAGACGGUGAAAUUAUGAUAUUAAAACUUUGGUAGUUUUUUUUUUCUCAAUUGGUUGAAAUUGUAUUUUUGUGUUUCUAAGAUAUAUGGUAGCAUGGUUAGGACCAGUGUUGUAAAAAUCGGAAUUAAUCGGCGCCUAGGCGCUAGUCGGGCGUUAACUGAUUAAUUUUGAGCUAGUCGGACCAUAAGUCGGUAGUCGGUCCAAGUCGGUGCAAGGCGGCCCUAGUCGGCCAAAUCGUUUCUAGUCGGCCCACUCUUUUUUAGUUUAAAUCUGGCCCAAACAAAUGUUUUUAACCAUUAAAUACAUGGACCAACCAAGUUGUUUAGUUCCAACCUGGCUCAAAAAAAACAUGUUUUAAGUCGUUAAAACAUAUUCCAUAAUGUCAUGACUAAU